AAGGCCAACGUCACUUAAAAUUGGAAAGUG
rnacentral:piRNA from 1 species